GACGUAGGGUGCGAGCGUUGUCCGGAUUUAUUGGGCGUAAAGAGCUCGUAGGCGGCUCGUCGCGUCGACCGUGAAAACCCGCGGCUUAACUGCGGGCUUGCGGUUGAUACGGGCAGGCUAGAGUUCGGUAGGGGAGACUGGAAUUCCUGGUGUAGCGGUGAAAUGCGCAGAUAUCAGGAGGAACACCGGUGGCGAAGGCGGAUCUCUGGGCCGAUACUGACGCUGAGGAGCGAAAGCGUGGGGAGCGAACAGG
rnacentral:rRNA from 1 species